AGUAACGCGUGGGAAUCUGCCUUUGAAUGGGGGAUAGCAAGCCGAAAGGCUUAUUAAUACCGCAUAUGUGAUUAUCUCGACAGAGGUAGUUAUGAAAGGAGUAAUCCGUUCAAAGAUGAGCCCGCGUCCGAUUAGCUAGUUGGUAAGGUAACGGCUUACCAAGGCUCCGAUCGGUAGGUGGUCUGAGAGGAUGAUCACCCACAAUGGGACUGAGACACGGCCCAU
rnacentral:rRNA from 1 species